AACGAACGCUGGCGGCAUGCCUAACACAUGCAAGUCGAACGAGACCUUCGGGUCUAGUGGCGCACGGGUGCGUAACGCGUGGGAAUCUGCCCUCUGGUUCGGAACAACAGUUGGAAACGACUGCUAAUACCGGAUAAUGACUUCGGUCCCAAGAUUUAUCGCCUGAGGAUGAGCCCGCGUAGGAUUAGCUUGUUGGUGAGGUAAAAGCUCACCAAGGCGACGAUCCUUAGCUGGUCUGAGAGGAUGAUCAGCCACACUGGGACUGAGACACGGCCCAGACUCCUACGGGAGGCAGCAGUGGGGAAUAUUGGACAAUGGGCGAAAGCCUGAUCCAGCAAUGCCGCGUGAGUGAUGAAGGCCUUAGGGUUGUAAAGCUCUUUUACCCGGGAUGAUAAUGACAGUACCGGGAGAAUAAGCCCCGGCUAACCCCGUGCCAGCCGCCGCAGUAAGAC
rnacentral:rRNA from 1 species